UUCAAUGUCUGCUCUCUUUCAUCAUUGCUUACAAUGCGGAAUUUUCCAUCACGGCUUUUUGCCACAGCAUCUAUCUGCACAUCCAGAAAAUGAUGACACUUCUUUUUAGAAUAUUUUGAGUUUGUAGAGAAAGAAGAGGAGGUCUGCACAUCCAGAUGAUGAUGACACUUUUUAUUGGAAUAUUUUGAGUUUGUAGAGGAAGAAGAAGAGGAGGAAAGCACAGGUGACCUCAUCGAUAAAAAUUAUUGAAGGUGCCUCCUUCUUUGCCCGUGCAAACAGGUCACGGACACGUGAUGCUCCCAUUCCAACAUACAAUUCUACAAACUCACUUGCAGAACAACUGAUAAAAGGAACCUC
rnacentral:lncRNA from 1 species